rnacentral:rRNA from 1 species
UACGGAGGAUCCAAGCGUUAUCCGGAUUUAUUGGGUUUAAAGGGUGCGUAGGCGGCCUAUUAAGUCAGGGGUGAAAGACGGUAGCUCAACUAUCGCAGUGCCUUUGAUACUGAUGGGCUUGAAUACACUAGAGGUAGGCGGAAUGAGACAAGUAGCGGUGAAAUGCAUAGAUAUGUCUCAGAACACCGAUUGCGAAGGCAGCUUACUAUGGUGUCAUUGACGCUGAGGCACGAAAGCGUGGGGAUCAAACAGG